rnacentral:rRNA from 1 species
GUGCAGCAGGCGAGAAUACUUUACAAUGUGCGAAAGCACGAUAAGGGAACUCUGAGUGCCUCCUAAGGAGGCUGUUCAGGUGUCUAAAAGCACCUGAAGGAAGGGCUGGGUAAGACCAGUGCCAGCCGCCGCGGUAACACCGGCAGCCCAAGUGGUAGCCACGUUUAUUGGGUCUAAAGCGUCCGUAGCCGGCUGGGUAAGUUCCUUGGGAAAUUUGGCUGCUUAACAGUCAAGCUUUCAGGGAAUACUGCCCGGCUUGGGGACCGGGAGAGGUCAGAGGUACUCCAGGGGUAGGGGUGAAAUCCAUUAAUCCUUGGGGGACCACCGGUAGCGAAGGCGUCUGACCAGACCGGGUCCGACGGUGAGGGGCGAA